rnacentral:rRNA from 1 species
CAUGCAAGUCGAGGGGUAACAUUUUAGCUUGCUAAAGAUGACGACCGGCGAACGGGUGCGUAACGCGUAUAGAAUCUACCUCUUACUAAGGGAUAGCCCAGAGAAAUUUGGAUUAAGACCUUAUAGUAUGCAGACUUGGCAUCAAGACUGCAUUAAAGAUUACGGUAGGAGAUGACUAUGCGUCCUAUUAGCUAGAUGGUGUGGUAACGGCACACCAUGGCAACGAUAGGUAGGGGCCCUGAGAGGGGGAUCCCCCACACUGGUACUGAGACACGGACCAGACUCCUACGGGAGGCAGCAGUGAGGAAUAUUGGACAAUGGAGGCAACUCUGAUCCAGCCAUGCCGCGUGCAGGAAGACUGCCCUAUGGGUUGUAAACUGCUUUUAUACAGGAAGAAACACUGCUACGUGUAGCAGCUUGACGGUACUGUAAGAAUAAGGAUCGGCUAACUCCGUGCCAGCAGCCGCGGUAAUACGGAGGAUCCAAGCGUUAUCCGGAAUCAUUGGGUUUAAAGGGUCCGUAGGUGGAUAAUUAAGUCAGAGGUGAAAUCCUGCAGCUCAACUGUAGAAUUGCCUUUGAUACUGGUUAUCUUGAGUUAUUAUGAAGUAGUUAGAAUAUGUAGUGUAGCGGUGAAAUGCAUAGAUAUUACAUAGAAUACCAAUUGCGAAGGCAGAUUACUAAUAAUAUACUGACACUGAUGGACGAAAGCGUGGGGAGCGAACAGGAUUAGAUACCCUGGUAGUCCACGCCGUAAACGAUGGUCACUAGCUGUUCGAACUUCGGUUUGAGUGGCUAAGCGAAAGUGAUAAGUGACCCACCUGGGGAGUACGUUCGCAAGAAUGAAACUCAAAGGAAUUGACGGGGGCCCGCACAAGCGGUGGAGCAUGUGGUUUAAUUCGAUGAUACGCGAGGAACCUUACCAGGGCUUAAAUGUAGAUUGACAGGACUAGAGAUAGUUUUUUCUUCGGACAAUUUACA